UGGGGAAUAUUGCACAAUGGGCGGAAGCCUGAUGCAGCGACGCCGCGUGAGGGAUGACGGCCUUCGGGUUGUAAACCUCUUUCAGUAGGGACGAAGCGUAAGUGACGGUACCUGCAGAAGAAGCUCCGGCUAAAUACGUGCCAGCAGCCGCGGUAAUACGUAUGGAGCAAGCGUUAUCCGGAUUCAUUGGGCGUAAAGCGCUCGUAGGCGGUCUGUUAGGUCGGCAAGUUAAAUCCGGGGGCUCAACCCCCGUCCGCUUCCGAUACCGGCAGACUUGAGUUUGGUAGGGGAAGGUGGAAUUCCUAGUGUAGCGGUGGAAUGCGCAGAUAUUAGGAAGAACACCGGUGGCGAAGGCGGCCUUCUGGGCCAUAACUGACGCUGAGGAGCGAAAGCUAGGGGAGCGAACAGG
rnacentral:rRNA from 1 species